rnacentral:lncRNA from 1 species
UCUCGCAAUACUCCUCGUAUUUUAACUGUUUAAAGAACGUACCAGAUCGAGGAGCACCCAUCAAAUCAAUAACAAUAGGACAAUGGUCUGAUCUAGAGCUGAUAAUAUGUGAAAUAUUGCUGUGAGGAAACCGUGAAGACCAUUCUGGGCAUGCCAUCGCUCGAUCAAGCCGAAAUUUGACAUUUUUAACACCUUCCUGUUUAUUAUUAUAGGUCCAAGGAACUCCAUGGAACCCCAAAUCAAAUAAAUUGCAUUUAGAUAAAACCUCAAAAAAAUUGGCCAUAGGUUUGUGAGAUCUCUUAUUCCGAGAAAAAUGCUCAUUCUACCACAUUGCCUCGUUAAAAUCACCAACCAUAAACCACGGCCCAGACCUAAGCAGUUUAAUACGCCUUAACAGAUCCCACAUCACAUACCUUUGGCUUGCUUUUGGUUCGCCAUAGACAAACGUGCUUCUUCAUUUGGUUCCAGCAUCAUUGGAUAUGUAUAUGUCAAUGAAGUGUUCUCCAUAUUUAUUCAGCUGCAAAUUGUAUAGAUCAUCCCAAAAGACCGCAAGUCCACCUCCUUUGCCUGACAUGGAAACAGUAAGAACAUUUUUCAUACCCAAGCGAUAACGCAAGCUCUCCACAUAUUCUUUAUUUUGCCUUGUUUCAGAAAUAAAGAUAACGUUGGAUCAAUGUGUCGUUGUGAGACAAACGAGCUCUUGGACUGUCCGAGGACGACCCAACCCUCGGCGGUUCCAACAAAUCAUUUUCAUGGCUCUUGACGAGCGCCGACCUUCGCGCCCGUCAGAUGACCGGGAGCCCCAGGGCCGGUAGCUUCCUUUUCGGUAUCCUCUACAUAUCUCUUGUCCCCUACAGAUUCUCUCCUUCUAACCUGAUCCACCUCCUCACUGUCGGUUCUAAAUCUGGCAUAUCUCGUAGUAGGGGUCCUAAGCUAGGCGUCUUGUAGCGAUGGUAAUAUGGACAUGAGAUUUUACCCAGGUUCAGGCUCUUUCAAGGAGUGAUAUGAGGAUAGUACAUAGUACAUGUAUCUAUCACGAGAUUGUAG